rnacentral:lncRNA from 1 species
UGGGUCCCAUGCGUCAGUGGCGGCGGGCGCGCGCGCGCGGACCGGUCUGGUUCGGGCGCGGUCGGCCGGGCGGUUCGGCCGGUUCGCGGCGUAGCGAGCCGGCCCAGUGGGUCGGUCCGUUCUUGUUUUUUUUCUUUAGCCUUUUCUUUUUCUGUUUUUCUCAUUUCUUUGAUAUCUUUUGAUUUUGAACUCCAAAUUGGUCCAAAUAAAUUCCAGAAAAUUUGUAAAAUCAUGUUUUACUAUGAUUCAACUUUUGGGAGUAGUUUCCCUUGAAAAACAAAUAUAUAAAAAUACAUUUUCCCUAUAGAUGCUUUUAGGGCUAUAUAUCUAUUUAAAAAAAAAUACUUUUUCAACUCCAAAUAAUUAUCCAAAAAUUAUGGGAUAGCUUAUAUAUGCAAUAAACCCCUUUUAUACAUAAGCCCUAUUGGUUUGAGAAUCCAAAGCUUAAAUGGGUGUAAACAAAGUCUUUUAAAACCUUUUGAGAUUCAAAUUUUGAAUUCAAAUAUGCAAUUGUGGCAUGAUGCUCAUGGAUGCAGUGCACAUGUAAAAGUUUGAAAUUUUGGGAUGUUACAGU